rnacentral:rRNA from 1 species
UACGGAGGGUGCGAGCGUUGUCCGGAAUCACUGGGCGUAAAGGGCGCGUAGGUGGCGACUCAAGUCAACGGUGAAAGCUCGACGCUCAACGUCGAGUCGGCCGUCGAAACUGGGACGCUUGAGCACUGUAGAGGCAGAUGGAAUUCCGGGUGUAGCGGUGGAAUGCGUAGAGCUCGUGAGGAAGACCGGUGGCGAAGGCGGAUCUCUGGACGGCCCCUGACGCUGAGGCGCGAAGGCUAGGGGAGCAAACGGG